CUCGUUGAAAGUUGAGAGAGAAAAAGAAAAGAAAUUAAAGAGGAAGGGAGAGCAAAGGAAAAAGUGGCAGUAACGUGGACUAUACUGUAGUUAGGUUCGGACUAAGAGGUGAUAUAAAGGCAUACGUCGCAUCCACUUGGUUCAACUUACCUGGAAGAUCGAAGAUCGAACACGACAAGAAAGAGCCUAAUCGGCUAAAGCUUCACGACACCACGCCACUUCUCCAACAUCAUGUCGGUGAAGUCGGUGUUGGAUACUGACAACUGUUGUAUUGGCCAAGAUAAGAAGAGUGUUAUUCUUCGAUGGCACGUAACAUCAUAAAUCGGCAACAAUCACUAGUAACAUUUACAACCCAAAAAACCAAUGGUUUUUUUACUCAACCAAUGGACUUCUUUUGGUUGAAUAUGACGAAGUAUUGGUAAACACAAAGGAAACAAUUAAGGAAUCUUCAUCAUCCGCUGUCCUGGUUUAUAUUAAUUGUCUUUCACCGGAUACGAUAGUACGGAUCUUCGACUUCAAAACUAAUACUUGACAUAGAUCAAAAUGACGAUUGGAUAUCGAUCGUUAACGCUGAUCCAAAUUGUUGAACGGCAAUAUAAUCUUAUUGCCUAUUAAUAUUUGAGAUCGAGCGGCGAUUCUCGUAGAAUUUGAAAAUAUUACGGAAAUAUUUUCCGAAUAUUAACAGAAAUUGAUGAAUCUAAUAUAGUUCCGGAUAUUCUUCACGAUCGAGACAUCUUCCAGGGAGGUUCCUCGCUGAGUGCAAUCAACGAAUCAAAUUCAAUUACUUUUCGAAAUUCCUAAAACGUUUGUAUUUUAAUACAAACUCAAUAACAUACUUUGUACUGAUUUAAUUGAUAUAAUUUUAUAUGUUUCAAAUACUAAAAGAAAAA